AAGCCACCUGUUUCGAAACAUGUUUUCUUUUUAAAUCUGCACCCAGUUAGAUGGUUAGUAAUUUUAGAAGGUGUUAUGCCUCAGUGAGUACUAUGUUGAGAACUUUAAAGAAACAUACAUAAUACAAAAGGCUUGGAAAAGAUCUCGCACAGGAUUGGCAAAGGCUCACGCUUCUCACACCUUUUGUUUUUGGCAGGUUGGCACCUUGGUGAUGCGUAGGACAACCAGUAUGGCACAGUAAUUGGCUGUGCGUCGUGACAUCGACUCGGCUGCUACUCAAAGAGAGAACCAAACACCCACACAAUUUCUCGAAUCAAACACAGAACACGAUGGAGAUCAGCUCAGGUUCAGACUCAUGAGAGGACACUGACAGAUCAUGAUUACACACCUGAUUGUCCCUGUGCUUCAGUCACCCAUAAAUCCAGUGUGAUGUCUUUCCUGCACUGUGACUGCUCUUCCCAUGCUGUAGAGACAAACGGUGUCUGAAACCUGGAAAAAUCAAGCCUACACCAUGAAGAGCAGGCCAUGCAAGAUGGCAAAAAAGAAGUCAUUAGAUGUGACAUCUACCAGAUCCACUAGAGCGCAUUCAGGCCUGAUAAAGAAUCCAACCAAAUACAGAAGCUUUGGAGAAGACUUCUUUACAGAGGUACUUAGCAAAUCACUUGAGAGCGCCGCGGACAAGCAAUAGAGCUUUCUCUUCAUAAAACUUUCUCACAAACACUGAAAAUGUAAGGGUAAAGAGGAUGAUUCCACUGAGCAUAUGGACUGGGUAUUUUCCUUCUGAUGUGAAGAACUGGGACAGCAAUGCAGAACCGGCUCAGAUGUAGUGUCUGUGCAUGCUGGAGAAAAUGCAAGUUGGCAUAAUUGUGUUCGAGUGCAGGUGAGAGCGGCUCAAGAGAUUUCUUUAUUUGGGUUGAGCUGAACGAUAUCAAAAACAGAUAUUAAACCCCUUUUGCUUAAAUCAGGGGAGACAAAGACAGUCAGCAAAAUUAUCAUUGGCACUUUAAACGUGUUUCUGUCCACGCUAAACACAAAGACCCAUGUGGUUUCUAACUAAUGUUAAAGUUAGCAUUGCUUUGUUUUUAGCUCCAAGACUUUGAUGGAAGUAUUUUCUGAUUUCAUUUUUUGGUUUACACUCUACACAACUUUAUGCACAUUAUGUACAUGAAUGGAAAUGGUCCUAAUUUUGCAUUCUUGAAUUCAUGCAUUUUGAAAUGUGUUAAUGCACAAUUCACAUGCAUAUUAUAUACAAUAAUAUGCAAUAAUAAGAGUAGAAUGCCA
ensembl:lncRNA